rnacentral:rRNA from 1 species
GAACCUUACCUGGCCUUGACAUACUAAGAACUUUCCAGGGAUGGAUUGGUGCCUUCGGGAACUUAGAUACAGGUGCUGCAUGGCUGUCGUCAGCUCGUGUCGUGAGAUGUUGGGUUAAGUCCCGCAACGAGCGCAACCCUUUUCCUUAUUUGCCAGCGGGUUAAGCCGGGAACUUUAAGGAUACUGCCAGUGACAAACUGGAGGAAGGCGGGGACGACGUCAAGUCAUCAUGGCCCUUACGGCCAGGGCUACACACGUGCUACAAUGGUCGGUACAAAGGGUUGCUACCUCGCGAGAGGAUGCUAAUCUCAAAAAGCCGAUCGUAGUCCGGAUCGCAGUCUGCAACUCGACUGCGUGAAGUCGGAAUCGCUAGUAAUCGCGGAUCAGAAUGCCGCGGUGAAUACGUUCCCGGGCCUUGUACACACCGCCCGUCACACCAUGGGAGUUUGUUGCACCAGAAGUAGGUAGUCUAACCGCAAGGAGGACGCUUACCACGGUGUGGCCGAUGACUGGGGUGAAGUCGUAACAAGGUAGGCGUAGAUGA